AUUGAACGCUGGCGGCAGGCCUAACACAUGCAAGUCGAGCGGAUGAAGGGAGCUUGCUCCUGGAUUCAGCGGCGGACGGGUGAGUAAUGCCUAGGAAUCUGCCUGGUAGCGGGGGAUAACGUCCGGAAACGGGCGCUAAUACCGCAUACGUCCUGAGGGACAAAGUGGGGGAUCUUCGGACCUCACGCUAUCAGAUGAGCCUAGGGCGGAUUAGCUAGUUGGUGGGGUAAAGGCCUACCAAGGCGACGAUCAGUAACUGGUCUGAGAGGAUGAUCAGUCACACUGGAACUGAGACACGGUCCAGACUCCUACGGGAGGCAGCAGUGGGGAAUAUUGGACAAUGGGCGAAAGCCUGAUCCAGCCAUGCCGCGUGUGUGAAGAAGGUCUUCGGAUUGUAAAGCACUUUAAGUUGGGAGGAAGGGCAGUAAGUUAAUACCUUGCUGUUUUGACGUUACCAACAGAAUAAGCACCGGCUAACUUCGUG
rnacentral:rRNA from 1 species